rnacentral:rRNA from 2 species
AAAUUGAAGAGUUUGAUCAUGGCUCAGAUUGAACGCUGGCGGCAGGCCUAACACAUGCAAGUCGAACGGUAACAGGAAGCAGCUUGCUGCUUCGCUGACGAGUGGCGGACGGGUGAGUAAUGUCUGGGAAACUGCCUGAUGGAGGGGGAUAACUACUGGAAACGGUAGCUAAUACCGCAUAAUGUCGCAAGACCAAAGAGGGGGACCUUCGGGCCUCUUGCCAUCGGAUGUGCCCAGAUGGGAUUAGCUUGUUGGUGGGGUAACGGCUCACCAAGGCGACGAUCCCUAGCUGGUCUGAGAGGAUGACCAGCCACACUGGAACUGAGACACG